rnacentral:rRNA from 1 species
CCUACGGGUGGCAGCAGUAGGGAAUAUUGCUCAAUGGGGGAAACCCUGAAGCAGCGACGCCGCGUGGAGGAUGAAGGUUUUCGGAUUGUAAACCCCUUUUGGUAGAGAAGAUAAUGACGGUAUCUGACGAAUAAGCACCGGCUAACUCCGUGCCAGCAGCCGCGGUAAUACGGGGGGUGCAAGCGUUACUCGGAAUCACUGGGCGUAAAGAGCGCGUAGGCGGGAUAGCAAGUCAGAUGUGAAAUCCUAUGGCUUAACCAUAGAACUGCAUUUGAAACGGUUAUUCUAGGGGAUGGGAGAGGUGGGUGGAAUCCUGGGGGUGGGGUGAAAUGCGUAGAGAUCAAGAGGAAUACUGAUGGCGAAGGCGGCCUGCUAGAACAUAACUGACGCUGAUGCGCGAAAGCGUGGGGAGCAAACAGGAUUAGAUACCCUUGUAGUC